UGAGGUAUACAGACUACAAAGGACGUGGAGAGACUCCAACCCCGGUUACACAUGUGUAAUAAUAUGGGUGUAGCCAGAGCUUGGGCCUGCUUCCUUCCUUGGUCACCAGCUGUCGCCACC
rnacentral:precursor_RNA from 10 species